rnacentral:rRNA from 1 species
UACGGAGGGUGCAAGCGUUAUCCGGAUUCACUGGGUUUAAGGGGUGCGUAGGUGGGCAGGUAAGUCAGUGGUGAAAUCUCUGGGCUUAACCCGGAAACUGCCGUUGAUACUAUCUGUCUUGAAUGUAGUGGAGGUGAGCGGAAUAUGUCAUGUAGCGGUGAAAUGCUUAGAUAUGACAUAGAACAUCGAUUGCGAAGGCAGCUCGCUACACUAUGAUUGACACUGAGGCACGAAAGCGUGGGGAUCAAACAGG